CAGUAUGUUCUGUAGAUCUGGUGUCUUUGGAUAAAACCGUGGGGAUGGAGGCUCUUGCUUUUUAAGCUGGGCCGCUCCCCCAUGUGGCCCGCAAGGGAAUCCAGCACCGCCCAACCUUGCUAAUUCCAAAAAAUACAUCGUUGCCUCGGCGGGCCAGCCUGCCGGCGGACACAUUAAACUCUUUUGUUAAACAACAAGCUGCAAUUAGUGCAACAGUCUGACUAUUUUUUAAACAAAAAUUA
rnacentral:misc_RNA from 1 species